rnacentral:rRNA from 1 species
CCUACGGGGGGCAGCAGUGAGGAAUAUUGGUCAAUGGCCGGAAGGCUGAACCAGCCAAGCCGCGUGAAGGACGAAGGUGCCAAGCAUUGUAAACUUCUUUUGUCAAGGGACAAAAUCAGGCUCGAGAGCCUGACCGAGGGUACUUGAAGAAAAAGCAUCGGCUAACUCCGUGCCAGCAGCCGCGGUAAUACGGAGGAUGCGAGCGUUAUCCGGAUUUAUUGGGUUUAAAGGGUGCGUAGGCGGGCUGUUAAGUCAGCGUGAAAAGUCUGGGGCUCAACCCCGGCGAGCCGUUGAAACUGGCUGUCGUGAGUUGAGGAGAGGUAUGCGGAAUGCGUAGUGUAGCGGUGACAUGCUUAGAUAUUGCGCAGAACUCCGAUUGCGAAGGCAGCAUACCGGCGGCGAUCUGACGCUGAGGCACGAAAGCGUGGGUAUCGAACAGGAUUAGAUACCCCGGUAGUC